GAAAAAUUUAAUUCAAAAUUUAUCCUCAGGUACGUACAGUCGGAAAAAUAAAGAUUUCGGGAUUUUUAGAGAUAUCAUCGUUUCUCUAAUUCUCUCAAUUGACAUUUGAAAUAACAUGCGAAAUGAGAGAAUAUAGAAAAACGAUGAAAACGAUGAUGUCUCUAAAAAUCCGUAAAUCUAUAUUUCUCCGACUGUACCAAUAGUGU